rnacentral:rRNA from 1 species
CGGUAUGGUAUUGGCCUACCGUGGCAGUGACGGUUAACGGGGGAUUAGGGUUCGAUUCCGGAGAGGGAGCCUGAGAAACGGCUACCACAUCUAAGGAAGGCAGCAGGCGCGCAAAUUACCCAAUUUUAACAGCAUAAGAGAGGUAGUGACAAGAAAUAACAGUACAAGGCAGUUAAAAUGCUUUGUAAUUGGAAUGAUAGAAAUUUAAAUACUUUUUAAAGUAUCAAUUGGAGGGCAAGUCUGGUGCCAGCAGCCGCGGUAAUUCCAGCUCCAAUAGCGUAUAUUAAAAUUGUUGCAGUUAAAAAGCUCGUAGUUGAAUAUCUGCUAGAAAUAACCGGUCUGCUUUUAUUAAUAAAAGUGGUAUCUUGGUGUGUUUUUAGCAAUAAUGUCCUUUGAAAUGUUUUUUACUUUACUGUAAAAAACAAAAUUCAGGAUUUUUACUUUGAGAAAAUUAGAGUGUUUCAAGCAGGCUAACGUUUUGAAUACUGCAGCAUGGAAUAAUAAAAUAGGAUUUUAGUUCUACGUUAUUGGUUUUAAGAACUAAAAUUAAUGAUUGAUAGGGGCAGUUGGGGGCAUUUGUAUU